rnacentral:rRNA from 1 species
CCUACGGGGGGCUGCAGUAAGGAAUAUUGGUCAAUGGACGCAAGUCUGAACCAGCCAUCCCGCGUGCAGGAUGAAAGCCCUAUGGGUUGUAAACUGCUUUUAGCAGAGAAGAAAAGCUUUCAUUAAUGAGAGUCUGACGGUAUCUGCAGAAUAAGCACCGGCUAACUCCGUGCCAGCAGCCGCGGUAAUACGGAGGGUGCCGGCGUUAUCCGGAAUUACUGGGGCGAAGGGGGGCGAUGAAGGCAUUUGUGAAAUCUUGUCGCUUAACGAUGAAAUUGCCAAUGAUACUGGUACUCUUGAAGUGGGUUGAGGUUAGCGGAAUGUGACAUGUAGCGGUGAAAUGCAUAGAUAUGUCAUGGAACACCAAUUGCGAAGGCAGCUAACUGGGCCUUGAUUGACGCUGAGGCACGAAAGCGUGGGUAGCGAACAGGAUUAGAUACCCUAGUAGUC